rnacentral:rRNA from 1 species
AGCGAACGCUGGCGGCAGGCUUAACACAUGCAAGUCGAGCGGGCACUUCGGUGUCAGCGGCAGACGGGUGAGUAGCACGUGGGAACGUACCCUUUGGUUCGGAAUAACGCUGGGAAACUAGCGCUAAUACCGGAUACGCCCUUUUGGGGAAAGGCUUGCUGCCGAAGGAUCGGCCCGCGUCUGAUUAGCUAGUUGGUGGGGUAAUGGCCUACCAAGGCGACGAUCAGUAGCUGGUCUGAGAGGAUGAUCAGCCACACUGGGACUGAGACACGGCCCAGACUCCUACGGGAAGCAGCAGUGGGGAAUAUUGGACAAUGGGCGCAAGCCUGAUCCAGCCAUGCCGCGUGAGUGAUGAAGGCCUUAGGGUUGUAAAGCUCUUUUGUCCGGGACGAUAAUGACGGUACCGGAAGAAUAAGCCCCGGCUAACUUCGUG